rnacentral:rRNA from 1 species
GAUGAACGCUAGCGAUAGGCUUAACACAUGCAAGUCGAGGGGCAGCAUGGCCUUAGCUUGCUACGACUGAUGGCGACCGGCGCACGGGUGCGUAACGCGUAUGCAACUUGCCUCACAGAGGGGGAUAACCCGUCGAAAGACGGACUAAUACCCCGUACACUUGGGAUAGGGCAUCCUGACUUAAGGAAUUGAAAUUCGCUGUGAGAUAGGCCUGCGUCCCAUUAGCUAGUUGGUGAGGUAACGGCUCACCAAGACGCCGAUGGGUAGGGGAACUGGGAGGUUGGACCCCCGAGCGGGUACGGAGACACGGACCAGACGCCUAGGGGAGGAAGCAGUGGGGAAGAUUGAGCAAUGAGUGAGGGACUGAGCCAGGCAAGUCGCUGGAAGAAUGACUGUCUUAUGGAUAGUAAACUUCUUUUGUACGCGAAUAACAGGAGCCACGUGUGGCUCCCUGCAUGUACCGGAUGAAUAAGCAUCGGCUAACUCCGUG